AGAACGAACGCUGGCGGCACGCCUAACACAUGCAAGUCGAACGCCCAGCAAUGGGAGUGGCGGACGGGUGAGUAACACGUGGGAACGUACCUUUCGGUUCGGAACAACUCAGGGAAACUUGAGCUAAUGCCGAAUUCGCCCUUACGGGGAAAGAUUUAUCGCCGAAAGAUCGGCCCGCGUCUGAUUAGCUAGUUGGUGAGGUAAUGGCUCACCAAGGCUUCGAUCAGUAGCUGGUUUGAGAGAACGACCAGCCACACUGGGACUGAGACACGGCCCAGACUCCUACGGGAGGCAGCAGUGGGGAAUCUUGGACAAUGGGGGAAACCCUGAUCCAGCGAUGCCGCGUGAGUGAUGAAGGCCUUCGGGUUGUAAAACUCUUUCGACGGGGACGAUAAUGACGGUACCCGUAGAAGAAGCUCCGGCUAACUUCGUGCCAGCAGCCGC
rnacentral:rRNA from 1 species